rnacentral:rRNA from 1 species
UACAGAGACUGCAGGCGUUAUUCGGAUUCACUGGGCGUAAAGGGUGCGCAGGCGGCCAAGUGUGUGAGGCGUGAAAGCCCGGGGCUUAACCCCGGAAUUGCACCUCAAACUGCAUGGCUAGAGCAUUGGAGAGGGUAGCAGAAUUCAUGGUGUAGCAGUGAAAUGCGUAGAUAUCAUGAGGAAUACCAGAGGCGAAGGCGGCUACCUGGACAAUUGCUGACGCUCAGGCACGAAAGCGUGGGGAGCAAAAGGG